GACGAACGCUGGCGGCGUGCUUAACACAUGCAAGUCGAACGGAAAGGCCCUGCUUGCAGGGUACUCGAGUGGCGAACGGGUGAGUAACACGUGGGUGAUCUGCCCUGCACUUCGGGAUAAGCCUGUGAAACUGGGUCUAAUACCGGAUAGGAGCCAUUUUUAGUGUGAUGGUUGGAAAGUUUUUUCGGUGUAGGAUGAGCUCGCGGCCUAUCAGCUUGUUGGUGUGGUAAUGGCCUACCAAGGCGGCGACGGGUAGCCGGCCUGAGAGGGUGGACGGCCACAUUGGGACUGAGAGACGGCACAGACUCCUACGGGAGGCAGCAGUGGGGAAUAUUGCACGAUGGGCGCAAGCCUGAUGCAGCGACGCCGCGUGGGGGAUGACGGCCUUCGGGUUGUAAACUCCUUUCGCUAGGGACGAAGCUUUUUGUGACGGUACCUAGAUAAGAAGCACCGGCUAACUACGUG
rnacentral:rRNA from 1 species